rnacentral:tRNA from 1 species
CAGAAAAUAGUUUAAUGAAAAAUGCCAGCUUUGGGAGUUGGUGAUAAAGGUUUAAUUCCUUUUUUUCUGA